rnacentral:rRNA from 1 species
UAGGUGGGUUUGUAAGUCAGAUGUGAAAGCUUCUGUUCAACGGAAGAAUUUGCAUCUUGAAACUACAGACCUUGAGUAUAGGAGGGGAGAAUGGAACUUCUGGUGGAGCGGUGAAAUGCGUAGAUAUCAGAAGGAACGCCGGCGGCGAAAGCGAUUCUCUGGCCUAUCACUGACACUCAGUGUGCGAAAGCUAGGGGAGCAAACGGGAUUAGAUACCCCGGUAGUCCUAGCCGUAAACGAUGGGCACUAAGUAGAGGGAAUUACCGAUGUUCUCUCUGCCGUAGCUAACGCAUUAAGUGCCCCGCCUGGGGAGUACGGCCGCAAGGCUAAAACUCAAAAGAAUUGACGGGGGCUCGCACAAGCGGUGGAGCAUGUGGCUUAAUUCGAUGCAACGCGAAAAACCUUACCGGGGCUUGACAUGGUAGAAGUAGGAACCCGAAAGGGUAACGAACGGUAUCCAGUCCGUAGCUAUCACAGGUGUUGCAUGGCUGUCGUCAGCUCGUGUCGUGAGACGUUGGGUUAAGUCCCCUAACGAGCGAAACCCUUGUUUUUAGUUACCAGCGGGUUGUGCCGGGUACUCUAGAAAGACUGCCGUCGUCAAGACGGAGGAAGGUGGGGAUGACGUCAAGUCAUCAUGGCCCUUAUGCCCCGGGCUGCACACGUGCUACAAUGGUCGGUACAAACGGAAGCGAAGCCGAGAGGUGAAGCGAAUCC